UACAGAGGUCUCAAGCGUUGUUCGGAAUCACUGGGCGUAAAGGGUGCGUAGGUGGCGUGGUAAGUCAGAUGUGAAAAGCCCCGGGGGCUCAACCCUCGGAAUUGCAUCCGAUACUACCAUGCUAGAGUACUGAAGAGGUGACUAGAAUUCUCGGUGUAGCAGUGAAAUGCGUAGAUAUCGAGAGGAAUACCAAAGGCGAAGGCAGGUCACUGGGCAGUUACUGACACUGAGGCACGAAGGCUAGGGGAGCAAACGGG
rnacentral:rRNA from 1 species